GGUCUGGCGACCUGAUGCAGCCAUGCCGCGUGUGUGAAGAAGGCCUUCGGGUUGUAAAGCACUUUCAGUUGUGAGGAAAAGUUAGUAGUUAAUACCUGCUAGCCGUGACGUUAACAACAGAAGAAGCACCGGCUAACUCCGUGCCAGCAGCCGCGGUAAUACGGAGGGUGCGAGCGUUAAUCGGAAUUACUGGGCGUAAAGCGCACGCAGGCGGUUUGUUAAGCUAGAUGUGAAAGCCCCGGGCUCAACCUGGGAUGGUCAUUUAGAACUGGCAGACUAGAGUCUUGGAGAGGGGAGUGGAAUUCCAGGUGUAGCGGUGAAAUGCGUAGAUAUCUGGAGGAACAUCAGUGGCGAAGGCGACUCCCUGGCCAAAGACUGACGCUCAUGUGCGAAAGUGUGGGUAGCGAACAGGAUUAGAUACCCUGGUAGUCCACACCGUAAACGCUGUCUACUAGCUGUGUGUGCCUUUAAGGCGUGCGUAGCGAAGCUAACGCGCUAAGUAGACCGCCUGGGGAGUACGGCCCGCAAGGUUAAAACUCAAAGAAAAUUGAACCGGGAA
rnacentral:rRNA from 1 species